rnacentral:misc_RNA from 1 species
AAGUCGUAAUAAGGUUUCCGUAGGUGAACCUGCGGAAGGAUCAUUAAAGAGAUAGGGUCUUCAUGGCCCGACCUCCAACCCUCUGUUGUUAUAACUACCUUGUCGCUUUGGCGGGACCGUCUCGGUCUCCGAGCGCACUAACCCUCGGGUUGGUGAGCGCCCGCCAGAGUCCAACCAAACUCUUGUAUUAAAACCAAGUCGUCUGAGUAUAAAAUUUUAAUUAAAUAAAA